UUAUGGAAGCCUUUGCAGCCCCGCAAGGGGUGGGGAGCACGACUGUAAAUAAGUCUCCCUUCAUGCAAGUCAGCACCCGCUGGCAACACGAUCGAAUUGACGGGGACGUCCUAAAGCCUACAACACCAACCCGCCCGGGAAACCGAGGCGGGGGCCCGUGCUAACUACACGGGGUGGUAAAAGAAUGUAUGGAUACUCCCUCCGGGGAACUAUGGAUAAUCCGCAGCGAAGACCCUAAGUAGCGCUAGCUAUACGGGUAACGUUCACAGACUAAGUGGUUGUGGGUGGAGCCUAGCUCUGCUUAAGAUAUAGUCGGGCCCUGCGUGAAAGCGCAGG
rnacentral:ncRNA from 1 species